UAGCUUUUAAAAUUCUCUCCUUAUUCUGUAUGUUGGGCAUCUUCAUUAUAAGAGAUCCACACCUAGACACAUUAUAAUGAAGAUGCCCAACAUACAGAAUAAGGAGAGAAUUUUAAAAGCUA
rnacentral:miRNA from 1 species